ensembl:lncRNA
UGUAUGAACUGUUAAUUUCUACACACACUCACACCACUAAAAUUGUAUUAUGGCAUGUGUAUGAUUAGGAGUGUAUAGCUGCCAUUGUUGUUUAAGGUAAUUAGGUUGAUGUUUUCUGCAUAGGUGAUUAACACCAGUGAGGAGGAGGAGGACACCAUCCCUCAGGCGGAGUCUCAGCGGCCAGGGACAGUGCCUGCAGUUUUUGUUGAACUGGAUGAGGACAGUUUGAAGGCUCUAAAAGAGCUGCCAGGACUGGUGUCUUCACUCAAAACAGUCCUAAACAAAAUGGAAGAUUCACCUUUGUCUUCCAUGAUUUCCAGCCAAAGCGAAUCACCGCGCACUGGCAGUCACACUGGCAGUGAAGAAGACAUGGUGUCAUUGGGCAACUCAUUAGUGCAAGUCCCAAAACGCCUCUAUCAGAGGCUGAGUGGGAGGAGGAUGUCCCUCUUCACACAGGAACUGGCCACAUUGGUGUUUGGCAGGGAAACUUUGGCCAAGGCAACCCUCACAGGGAAAGGAAAAAAAGGCGAGCUGAAGGAGCAGCUUGAGCCAGAAAAAACCAACGCAAUUAUAGAUGCAGUCAGGGAGCGAUUCCCCAACACCGAGGUGGCAGAGAUCCGGGCCCUUCUACGGAGAAAGUGCAACAAUGAGAGCUACAAGGCCUCUAGUAACUCAAGUCAGAGCUAGAUAUGCAUGUGUAGUAAGUUGUUUUGCCAUUGUUCUGUUAUCGGCAUUUCAGAGAAAGUCGACUGUUCAAGGUUCCUCCUUUUGCCAAUAUCUGCUUUUGUGUGUUACUUUUGUGUUAAUAAUAAAGAUCCUCUUCUGAAAUGCA